GUGGGGAAUUUUGGACAAUGGGGGCAACCCUGAUCCAGCAAUGCCGCGUGCAGGAAGAAGGCCUUCGGGUUGUAAACUGCUUUUGUACGGAACGAAACGGUCUGGGUUAAUACCCUGGGCUAAUGACGGUACCGUAAGAAUAAGCACCGGCUAACUACGUGCCAGCAGCCGCGGUAAUACGUAGGGUGCGAGCGUUAAUCGGAAUUACUGGGCGUAAAGCGUGCGCAGGCGGUUUUGUAAGACAGGCGUGAAAUCCCCGGGCUCAACCUGGGAAUGGCGCUUGUGACUGCAAAGCUGGAGUGCGGCAGAGGGGGAUGGAAUUCCGCGUGUAGCAGUGAAAUGCGUAGAUAUGCGGAGGAACACCGAUGGCGAAGGCAAUCCCCUGGGCCUGCACUGACGCUCAUGCACGAAAGCGUGGGGAGCAAACAGGAUUAGAUACCCGUGUAGUCC
rnacentral:rRNA from 1 species